rnacentral:RNase_P_RNA from 1 species
GAAGUCGGUCAGGCAACCGCUGCGUGCUUCGGCACGGGGAGGAAAGUCCGGGCUUCAUAGAGCAGGAUGCCGGCUAACGGCCGGGCGCUAUACGCCGCAAGGCAAAGGCGACGGAAAGUGCAACAGAGAACAGACCGCCGAUGGCUCAUGCAGGCAACUGCGGGCACAGGCAAGGGUGAAACGGCGAGGUAAGAGCUCACCGCGGACGUGGUAACACGGACGGCACGGCAAACCCCAUCCGAAGCAAGGCCAAAUAGGGAAGCAUUCGGCGUGGCUCGCGUCGCUUCCGGGUAGGCUGCUUGAGCGGCUCGGCAACGGGUCGCCUAGAGGAAUGGUUGCCCACGACAGAACCCGGCUUAUCGACCGGCUUCCCAA